UACGUGGGCUCAAAAACAAUUUAAAUACAAAAACACACGCAGGUUCCCCUCCUUUCCUUUGCCUUUUGGUCUGGCUCUCCCUACCUUUGCGUUGGUGCCUGACCGAAUGGAAACCCCUUCUUCGUUUUGCAGCCUGUGAGCUCCGGGUACCUGGAGACCAGGCAGGCCCCUGUGCUGCCCCCAGCCCAGGAGCCGUGCCCCCCCAUCAUUCUGCAGUCCUCUGACUCUCAGCCUGGUGUGGAAACUGAGGCCCAGAGAGGUAAUGUGAUUUGCCUAAAGUCAUGCAACUCGUGGCAGAGCCCGGCCUAGAAGCCAGGUGUCCUGGAUCUCAAGACACCCCCCUGCCCGAGGAAUGGAACCGGGAUUUAGUGCAAGAAGAAGAACAGUUGAUGGAAGAAAAGAAAAAGAAAAAAGACGACAAGAAAAAGAAGGAAGCUGCUCAAAAGAAGGCCACUGAACAAAAAAUCAAAGUGCCAGAACAGAUAAAGCCCAGUGUAAGCCAGCCUCAGCCUGCCAACUCUGAUAACGGCACUUCCACAGCAACCAGCACUAAUAAUAAUGCCAAGCGAGCUACAGCCAGCAAUCAGCAGCCGCCGCCGCAGCAGCAACAGCAGCAGCAAGAGCAGCAGCAGCAGCAGCAGCAGCAGCAGCAGCAGCCACAGGCCUUGCCUCGGUAUCCUCGUGAAGUACCUCCACGAUUUCGCCACCAGGAACACAAACAGCUUCUAAAGAGGGGUCAGCAUUUUCCUGUCAUAGCAGCAAACCUGGGAUCUGCUGUUAAGGUGUUAAACAGCCAAUCAGAAAGCAGUGCUGUAACAAAUCAGCAGCCACAAAAUAACGGAGAGGUGCAGAACAGCAAAAACCAGUCAGAUAUAAAUCAUAAUACUUCAGGAUCCCAUUAUGAAAAUUGCCAGCGGGGACCUGUGUCUUCUACAAGUGACUGUAGCACAAGCUCUAAGAAUGCUGUAAAGGACUUGUUGGAAAAAGAAGCAUGGCCCUCGGCCCCUGGCAGUGAUCCCGAGUUGGCUUCAGAAUGUAUGGAUGCUGAUUCUGCCUCCAGUUCUGAGUCAGAGAGAAACAUCACUGUCAUGGCUUCAGGGAACACAGGUGGUGAAAAAGAUGGCCUUCGCAACAGCACUGGACUCGGUUCUCAAAGCAAGUUUGUGGUUGGUAGCAGCAGCAAUAAUGUGGGUCAUGGAAGUAGUACUGGGCCAUGGGGCUUCCCUCAUGGAGCCAUAAUAAGCACAUGUCAGGUCUCUGUGGAUGCUCCUGAAAGCAAAUCAGAAAGUAGUAACAAUAGAAUGAAUGCUUGGGGCACUGUAAGUUCUUCAUCAAAUGGAGGGUUAAAUCCAAGCACUUUGAAUUCAGCUAGCAACCAUGGUGCCUGGCCAGUAUUAGAAAACAAUGGACUUGCCCUAAAAGGGCCUGUAGGGAGUGGGAGUUCUGGCAUCAAUAUUCAGUGUAGUACCAUAGGCCAGAUGCCUAACAAUCAGAGUAUCAACUCUAAAGUCAGUGGCUCUUCUACCCAUGGUACCUGGGGCAGCCUUCAGGAAACGUGUGAGCCUGAAGUAAGUGGUACACAGAAGGUUUCGUUCAGUGGUCAACCUCAGAAUAUCACCACUGAAACAACUGGACCAAAUAACACUACUAACUUUAUGACCUCUAGUUUACCAAACUCCGGUUCAGUACAGAAUAAUGAACUGCCUACUAGUAAUCCAGGGGCCUGGCGUGUGAGCACAAUGAAUCAUCCUCAGAUACAGGCUCCGUCAGUUAUGAAUGGCACUUCCCUUUCUCACCUUAGCAAUGGAGAGUCAAAAACUGGAGGCUCCUACGGUACUACAUGGGGUGCCUAUGGUUCUAAUUACUCUGGAGACAAAUGUGCAGGCCCUAACGGCCAAGCCAAUGGUGACACUGUGAAUGCAACUCUAAUGCAGCCUGGCAUGAAUGGGCCAAUAGGCACUAACUUUCAAGUUCACACAAACAAAGGGGGAGGUGUUUGGGAGCCUGGGACAACGAAUUCCCAGAGUUCACCAUGGGGAAGUGGAAAUGGGGCGAACUCUGGAGGAAGUCGAAGAGGAUGGGGAAGUCCUGCACAGAACACUGGCACUAGUCUACCCAGUGUUGAGUGGAACAAACUGCCUAGCAAUCAGCAUUCCAAUGACAGUGCAAAUGGCAAUGGUAAGAAGUUUACAAAUGGAUGGAAAUCUACUGAGGAAGAGGAUCAGGGUUCUGCCACAUCCCAGACAAGUGAGCAAAGCAGUGUGUGGGCCAAAACAGGAGGCGCAGUGGAGAGUGAUGGCAGUGCAGAGAGCACUGGACGCCUGGAAGAGAAAGUAACCGGGGAAGGGCAGAGUAGAGACAGACGGAAAAUCGAUCAGCACACAUUACUCCAAAGCAUUGUAAACAGAACUGACUUAGAUCCACGUGUCCUGUCCAACUCCGGUUGGGGACAGACUCCUAUUAAGCAGAAUACUGCCUGGGAUACAGAAACAUCACCAAGAGGGGAAAGAAAGACUGACAAUGGGACAGAGGCCUGGGGAAGCUCUGCAACACAGACUUUUAACUCAGGGGCAUGUGUAGAUAAGACUAGCCCUAAUAGUAAUGAUACCUCAUCUGUAUCAGGGUGGGGCGAUCCCAAACCUACUCUGAGGUGGGGAGAUUCCAAAGGCUCAAACUGCCAGGGGGGGUGGGAAGAUGAUUCUGCUGCUACAGGAAUGAUCAAGAGCAAUCAGUGGGGGAAUUGCAAAGAAGAGAAGUCUGCAUGGAAUGAUUCGCAAAAGAACAAACAGGGGUGGGGUGAUGGACAAAAGUCAAGCCAAGGUUGGUCCAUUUCUGCCAGUGAUAAUUGGGGAGAAACUUCCAGGAGUAACCAUUGGGGUGAGGCUAAUAAGAAAUCCAGCUCAGGAGGUAGUGACAGUGACAGGUCCGUUUCUGGUUGGAAUGAACUUGGUAAAACUAGUUCUUUUACUUGGGGAAAUAAUAUAAAUCCAAAUAAUUCAUCAGGAUGGGAUGAAUCUUCUAAACCUAAUUCUUCCCAGGGAUGGGGAGACCCUCCAAAGUGUAAUCAGUCUCUAGGUUGGGGAGAUUCAUCAAAACCAGUUAGUUCUCCAGAUUGGAACAAGCAACAAGACAUUGUUGGAUCGUGGGGAAUUCCACCAGCCACCGGCAAGCCUUCUGGUACAGGCUGGCUGGGAGGACCUAUUCCAGCUCCAACAAAGGAGGAAGAACCCACAGGCUGGGAGGAGCCAUCCCCAGAAUCUAUACGACGAAAAAUGGAGAUUGACGAUGGAACUUCAGCUUGGGGCGAUCCGAGCAAAUACAACUACAAAAAUGUGAACAUGUGGAAUAAAAACAUCCCGGAUGGCAGCGGCCGCCCCGACCAGCAAGCGCAGAUGCAUCGGCUGCUGCCGUCUGCAAAUGCUGUCUCAAGCAAGGAGGCAAGCGGUGGCUCUGGCUGGGGUGAGCCCUGGGGGGAGCCUUCUACUCCAGCCACGACUGUGGAUAAUGGUACUUCAGCCUGGGGUAAGCCCAUAGACAGUGGUCCCAGCUGGGGAGAACCCAUUACUGCAGCAUCCAGUGCAUCCACGUGGGGCUCCAGCUCUGUUGGUCCACAAUCAUUAAGCAAAUCUGGGCCCAAAUCUAUGCAAGAUGGCUGGUGUGGUGAUGAUAUGCCAUUACCUGGAAGUCGCCCCACUGGCUGGGAAGAGGAGGAGGAUGUAGAGAUUGGAAUGUGGAACAGUAACUCGUCUCAAGAGCUUAACUCAUCCUUAAAUUGGCCACCAUAUACCAAGAAAAUGUCAUCAAAGGGUCUGAGUGGCAAAAAAAGGAGAAGGGAAAGGGGAAUGAUGAAAGGUGGAAACAAACAAGAAGAUGCGUGGAUAAAUCCAUUUGUUAAACAGUUUUCAAAUAUCAGUUUUUCAAGAGACUCACCAGAAGAAAAUGUACAGAGCAAUAAGAUGGAUCUUUCUGGAGGAAUGUUACAAGACAAACGAAUGGAGAUAGAUAAACAUAGCCUAAAUAUUGGUGAUUACAAUCGAACGGUCGGGAAAGGUCCUGGUUCUCGGCCUCAGAUUUCCAAAGAGUCUUCCAUGGAGCGCAAUCCUUAUUUUGAUAAGGAUGGCAUUGUAGCAGAUGAAUCCCAAAACAUGCAGUUUAUGUCCAGUCAAAGCAUGAAGCUUCCCCCUUCAAAUAGUGCACUACCUAACCAGGCCCUUGGCUCCAUAGCAGGGCUGGGUACGCAAAACUUGAAUUCUGUUAGACAGAAUGGCAAUCCCAGUAUGUUUGGUGUUGGAAACACAGCAGCACAACCCCGGGGCCUGCAGCAGCCUCCAGCACAACCUCUCAGUUCAUCUCAGCCUAAUCUCCGUGCUCAAGUGCCUCCUCCAUUACUCUCCCCUCAGGUUCCAGUUUCAUUGCUGAAGUAUGCACCAAACAACGGUGGCCUGAACCCGCUCUUUGGCCCUCAACAGGUAGCCAUGCUGAACCAGCUAUCCCAACUAAACCAGCUUUCUCAGAUCUCCCAGUUACAGCGAUUGCUAGCGCAGCAGCAGAGGGUGCAGAAUCCGAGAAGCGUGCCUUCUGCUAACCGACAGCAGCAAGACCAGCAGGGUCGACCUCUUAGUGUACAGCAGCAGAUGAUGCAACAGUCUCGUCAACUUGAUCCAAGCCUGCUGGUGAAGCAGCAGACUCCGCCUUCUCAGCAGCCGCUUCAUCAGCCAGCCAUGAAGUCCUUCCUUGACAAUGUCAUGCCCCACACUACACCUGAGCUGCAGAAAGGGCCAUCGCCAGUAAAUGCUUUCAGCAACUUUCCUAUAGGCUUGAACUCAAACUUGAAUGUAAAUAUGGAUAUGAACAGUAUUAAAGAGCCACAGUCAAGACUAAGGAAGUGGACUACAGUGGACAGCAUUUCUGUGAACACAUCUUUGGAUCAAAACUCCAGCAAACAUGGUGCUAUUUCAAGUGGUUUUAGGCUGGAAGAAUCUCCAUUUGUUCCCUAUGACUUUAUGAAUAGCAGUACUUCACCAGCCAGUCCUCCAGGUUCAAUAGGAGAUGGCUGGCCACGUGCCAAAUCGCCUAACGGCUCUAGCAGUGUUAACUGGCCACCAGAAUUUCGCCCUGGUGAACCAUGGAAAGGUUAUCCAAACAUUGACCCUGAAACUGACCCUUAUGUCACUCCUGGCAGUGUGAUUAACAGUCUUUCGAUUAAUACUGUGCGGGAAGUUGAUCACCUCAGGGACAGGAACAGUGGGUCAUCCUCAUCCUUGAACACCACGCUGCCUUCAACUAGUGCCUGGUCAUCCAUUCGUGCCUCCAACUACAAUGUUCCCCUCAGCAGUACAGCACAAAGCACUUCAGCCAGAAAUAGUGAUUCCAAAUUGACGUGGUCUCCUGGUUCAGUUACAAACACCUCUCUGGCUCAUGAGCUGUGGAAAGUCCCUUUGCCACCUAAAAACAUCACUGCUCCAUCCCGCCCACCUCCGGGGCUGACUGGUCAGAAGCCACCCUUGUCUACGUGGGAUAAUUCUCCCCUUCGUGUAGGUGGAGGAUGGGGAAAUUCUGAUGCCAGAUACACCCCAGGUUCCAGCUGGGGUGAGAGCAGCUCAGGGAGAAUAACGAAUUGGCUUGUUUUGAAAAACCUCACACCUCAGAUUGAUGGCUCAACUCUGCGCACCCUGUGCAUGCAGCAUGGCCCACUGAUUACAUUCCAUCUGAACCUCCCACAUGGAAAUGCUCUGGUCCGUUACAGUUCAAAAGAAGAGGUAGUGAAGGCACAAAAGUCUCUGCACAUGUGUGUGCUGGGGAACACUACUAUUCUCGCUGAGUUUGCCAGUGAAGAGGAGAUCAGUCGCUUCUUUGCACAAAGUCAGUCUCUGACCCCUUCUCCUGGCUGGCAGUCUCUCGGGUCCAGCCAGAGCCGGCUGGGCUCCCUCGACUGUUCCCACUCAUUCUCCAGCCGGACCGAUCUCAAUCACUGGAAUGGUGCUGGGCUGUCGGGAACUAACUGUGGAGACCUUCACGGCACUUCCCUCUGGGGGACCCCACAUUAUUCCACAAGCCUGUGGGGUCCCCCAAGCAGCAGCGACCCCCGGGGAAUUAGCAGCCCAUCCCCCAUUAAUGCUUUUCUUUCUGUUGACCACCUGGGUGGGGGUGGAGAGUCCAUGUAACCGCAUAGGUAUAGACGCAAACUGUGACCUCAAGAUAAGAAGGAAAGGAGCACUAAGUUGGGCUCGCCGCCUGCAGCCAGGGCCACCUGUGGGGACAGCUAUUUUUCUGCACAUUUUCCACUUUGUUUUCCCCAGAACAUAUCAGUUUGAAUACUUGAAUCAUGCAGGCCAAUAUUAUAAUGUGAAAGGGUAUCUAUCUAUUUACACUCCCAAAUAGCGCCAUACAGCUAACCGUGUGGAAUGAGCUCACUGGUGUAUUCAUCAUGUUUAGCCUUCGGAUUCCUUCUUUCCUUCAUUUCCACCCCCAACCCCACCUUUUAUUUUUAUUUGUUUUUUUUUGUUUUUGUUUUUGUUUUUUUUUUUUUUUGCAAAACCGUUUUUUGGGCUGAUGUAUGAGCUUUUACCUUUGCACUGAGUGAUGUUCUCUCCGUCUGAUCGGCAAUAUGGGGGGGCAGCUGUUCCAGUGUAAAUGUUUACUCAAGGAUGUUCUUAAGGCGAGCGCUCUCCACUCCGCCUCAUGUCGCCUACCUUACUGUGGUGUCGUGGAGUCUAGAAGAUCAAGUUAAGAUACUGACGUAGGAUUCUUAAUGAAAGUAUUGCACCAGUUUUUUCAUGUUGUAAAACUAAAGAAUUUUCGCUCUACAGUUUGAGAAACUGUGGCCACCGCUGUGACCUGCAGCCCGCCUGCUGCCCAGGACGGGCCCUGCACUUUGAACAGGCUUUCCAUGUUGUUUUGAAGGUUCCCACGGUGAACCUUCUUGUUUACAGAUUUUUUGUUUGUUUUUUGAGAAAAAAAAAUGUUUACUCUUCCAUCAUUUAAAAAAAAAUUAAAAGACAAAAAAAAAAAAAAAGAGGAGGGUGGUUUAAAGACGCUUUCUAUCUCUGGGAAAAAGAGCAGCAUUUGGCCAUGUUCUUCUGUUUUCUAUCCCUGUCCUAAAUCAAAGAGCAUGGUUCUCAGGAAACCAGUUCCCCGUCAAAAAUCUUGUAGUUUCUUAUAGGAAAAAAGAAAACCCCGACUUUUAGCACUGAUAUUACGUAUUGCUCUGUUCAAGAAUUUUCUCUGCCAAAAAAAGAAAAAGAAAAAAAAAAAAAAAAGAAAACAAACCGCUUUGAGCUGGAGUUGCCGUCUGCUUUCAGAUGCUGUCCCUUAUUAGUGAGUGAUGAUGGUUUGCUGAUAAUCGCUAGGUGACUUUUUGUAACCCCAUCAGUGGCUCUCAUGUCUCUGCUCUCUUGUGACCGUGUUCAUGUUUAACUGUUGUACCUUAAAGCCGAGAUCAGUAACUAUGCAUACUGUAACCAAGACAUUGGGCUUACAGAGUUGUUUGUUGUAUAAAAAUUUUAAAUGUUGUUGCAAACUAACGAGUUACACCAUUUUAAAAUUUCUUUCCUCCCCAGCUCCUGUUUCUUUGCCCACAAAUGGUAUUAUAAUGCUUGCUUAGUCAAAGAAGAGAGACUAAACAAGGGUAAACUUUUAACAGUACAGAAUAUGCCAUCAUUUCAUUGCCUUGAUUCUAACUGUUUGUGUCCUAAGAUGCAAAAGAGGCUCUUUUUUAUAAUGAAAGUUACAGAGUUGCUGCACAUGAGGGUUCUCUCAUAGAGCAGCAGAUUAAAAAUCUAAGCAAAUAUUUGAACGUUUCACCUGAACUUCUCCACAAUCACCCUGAGAUAAUGUGAGAACAGUGGAAGCUGUAGCUUGCUCCCUCCUCCCCGAGCAUCUUUGGGAUCUUGUUGCUCAAAGCUCUUCUGUGGCUUCACCUCUGCCCCACCACCUGUGCCCAUCUCAAGCCUCAGCGGGACCAUUCGGAACAUGAAGCUUAGUGACUUGACAGCCUCCUAGUGUUAACCUCUCAUACCUCUCACACAGUGGGGAUGCCACCGACGUGCCCCUGCUCCUCACGGCGGGAGCGCUAGGGCAGAACUGUGUCUGUAUUCCAGUGUAUGACUUCAGAUCACGCUCCAGCUUGCCAGCUGUAAGCUAAUGGCGGACACCGCAACCUAAGCAAAUGUUCAGUGCGUUCGGUGUGUAUUGACGUCCAUACUGGUUUUUCCAAAAACCAAAGGUAGCUUUGAAAAACCAUGUGUGGAGAUAUUUGGAACGUUAAGCUGAGUGACCUUUUGGGGCUUUGAGUAGUAUAUAACUGACUUCAUAACUUCGUUAAUUGUAUUGUUAAAAGUGUUUGGGAGUUUUUUGCGCUUGUUAUGUGGAAAUAAAGUGUUUGAUU